rnacentral:lncRNA from 12 species
GGCUGCUCCAAGCCCUGUCCAGCCUGGCUUGGAACUCUUCCAGGGAUGGGGCACAGAAUGAUUUGGGUUGAAGGGACCUUAAAAAUCCCUUGGUUCCAAGCCCCCUGCCAUGGGCAGGGACACCUUCCACUAUCCCAUGUUGGUCCAGGCCCUGUCCAGCCUGGAUUGGAACUCUUCCAGAUAUGGGAUGUAAACAGCUUCUCUGGAUAACCUGUGCCAGGGCCCCACCACCCUCACAGUAAAGAAUUUCUUCCUAACAUCUAAUCUAAACCUACCCUCUUUCAGCAUCAAGCCAUUCCCCCUUGUCCCAUCACUGCAUAGAGUCCCUGCCCAGCUUUCCCAGAGCUGUUUCAGGUCAUCCAGGACCACACAAUCUUUGCAGUCCCCAGAGAGCACAGCCUGCACUGGUGGUGGCCUUCAGGGUCCCUUUAAGCCCCUGCUCAGUCUCCUAAUUCUUUGAUUUCCUGGUCCCCAAACAACCAUUGCCUGGGCAAGGGGAAGCAAAUGAUCCCUGCCCUUCUAGGCAGAAAGAGAGGUGAUUUAGGCUGGAAUCCACAAGUGUUCAGGACCAGGACUGGGCCUUGUUAAACUGUGGGCUUAUUUAGAUGUCUGGAGCUGCUCAGGAUGCUUCUUUUGAGUCAGAUACACACUCAGGAUCUGCAGGAUCAGCCUUUCAUGCUUCACCUUUUAACAUGAAUCCUUCCUUCCCUCCCUUCUGUUUUUUUCCCCCCUGAGAAAGUGGCUGCAUUCUUUCCUGAGUUAAUUGCAUCUUUCUGGGUUGGAUAAGGCAUAUCUCAUUAGAGGGGGAGAGAGAUUUAAUGUGAACUUCAAGCUGUCUUCUCCAUGCUGCAGAAAAGAAAUCCCUAAUCAGCACAGUAUAUAUUUUGUAUAAUUGUUCUUUGACAUUCCCUCUUUGCUUGCUAAUUAAAGUAAAAGAAAAUGAUGGUGAAAUGUUCCAGUGUGUUUUGCUAGGGAAGAAAAACUAACCCCCUCUUUUGUUUAUAAAUACAGGGUAUUUCAAGGGCCCAGAGAAUCAGUUGUUUUCACAGGCACGCUGCUGAAAUUUAUUAUUCUUUUCCUUUGGAGCCUGGCAUUGAGCACAUCUGCAGCUGAGGAUCAGUUUUGCAGUGGUAUAAAUGGCCACAGCUCGGUGGAAGUCACCAGCCACAGCCAGGAGGAGACCCAACCCAAACACAGGAUCCUCACGUUUCCAGACCUUGGAAGGGUCCAUAUGCUGAACUCAGACCCAAAGCUGGCGUUGUUGCAGAAAGCAGAAUGAAAACCACAAGUCUCCAAGCAAGCCUUGAAGUCUCAAGGAGAAGACAGGGAUUAACCCCAUCUCCUGCCUGCUGGUUCCUAAUCUCCUGUAGGAAUGUGACAUUCCAGGAAGGCUCUUCUUGGGGUGAUAAAGGGUUCAUUGUCAGAACCCAAUGAGAUGUACCUUUCCAUCUUCCCUGAAUCAUCUGUGGUAAUACUUCAGCUGGGUUUUGAAAGCGUAGGGAAAAAAAAAAGAUGAAAGGGAACUUGAAUCAACACUAUCUCCUGUGAUAGCCAGGGCUUUAAAAAUGCCUAAAGAUCUCUUUGAUUGCACACUGUUUGGGCCAUAUGCCAUCCUUUUAUUACUUAUCCAUGUAUUGGAGAGGUCACUGAUGUUCUGUUGAAAAUAUAUUUCUCUUUUGGCCAAAUCCAGGGGUAUUUUUAGCAGAAAAAUAAAAGGCUGAAAUCAUUAAAUUAUUUUUU